AUUGAACGCUGGCGGCAGGCUUAACACAUGCAAGUCGAGCGGGGGAAGGUAGCUUGCUACUGGACCUAGCGGCGGACGGGUGAGUAAUGCUUAGGAAUCUGCCUAUUGGGGGGGGACAACAUCUAGAAAGGGAUGCUAAUACCGCAUACGUCCUACGAGAGAAAGCAGGGGAUCUUCGGACCUUGCGCUAAGAGAUGAGCAUAAGUCGGAGUAGCUAGUUGGUGGGGUAAAGGCCUACCAAGGCGACGAUCUGUAGCGGGUCUGAGAGGAUGAUCCGCCACACUGGGACUGAGACACGGCCCAGACUCCUACGGGAGGCAGCAGUGGGGAAUAUUGGACAAUGGGGGGAACCCUGAUCCAGCCAUGCCGCGUGUGUGAAGAAGGCCUUAUGGUUGUAAAGCACUUUAAGCGAGGAGGAGGCUACUUUAGUUAAUACCUAGAGAUAGUGGACGUUACUCGCAGAAUAAGCAUCGGCUAACUCUGUGCCAGCCGCCGCAGUAA
rnacentral:rRNA from 1 species